rnacentral:rRNA from 1 species
UACCUGGUUGGAUCCUGCCAGUAGUCAUAUGCUUGUCUCAAAGAUUAAGCCAUGCAUGUGUAAGUAUGAACUGAAUUCAGACCGGUGGAAACUGCGAAUGGCUCAUUAAAUCAGCUUAUAGUUUGUUUGAUGGUAACUACUACUCGGAUAACCGUAGUAAUUCUAGAGCUAAUACGUGCAACAAACCCCGACUUAUGGAAGGGACGCAUUUAUUAGAUAAAGUUAUCGACGCGUGGCUCUGCCCGUUGCUCUGAUGAUUCAUGAUAACUCGACGGAUCGCAUGGCCUCUGUGCUGGCGCGACGCAUCAUUCAAAUUUCUCAGCCUCUAUCAACUUUCUCGAUGGUAGGAUAGUGGCCUUACCAUGGUGGUAACGGGUGACGGAGAAUUAGGGGUUCGAUUCCGGAGAGGGGAGCCUGAGAAACGGCUGGCUACCAAUACAUCCAAGGAAGGCAGCAGGCGCGCAAAUUCACCCAAGUAAUCCUGACACGGGGAGGUAGUGACAAUAAAUAACAAUACCUAGCUCUUUUCUGAGUCCUGGUAAUUGGAAUGGAGUACAAUCUAAAUCCCUUUAACGAGGAUCCAUUGAGGGCAAGUCCGGUGCCAGCAGCCGCGGUAAUUCCAGCUCCAAUAGCGUAUAUUUAAGUUGUUGCAGUUAAAAAGCUCGUAGUUGAACCUUGGGAUGGGCCUCGGCCGGUCCGCCUUGGUGUGCAUUGGUCGGCUUGUCCCUUCCUCGGGUCGGGCGAUACGCUCCUGGUCUUAAUUGGCUGGGCUCAAAGCCUCCCAAGGCUGUUACUUUGAAGAAAUUAGGAGUGCUCAAAGCAAGCCUACGCUCUGGAUACACAUUAGCAUGGGGAUAACAUCAUAGGAUUUCGAUCCUAUUGUGUUGGCCUUCGGGAUCUGGAGUAAUGAUUAACAGUGGACAAGGUCGGGGGGGGCAUUCGUAUUUCGGUAGUCAGAGGUGAAAUUCUUUGACUGAUGAAAGACGAAACAACUGCGAAAAAGCAUUUGCCAAGGAUGUUUUCAUUAAUCAAGAACGAAAGUUGGGGGCUCGAAGACGAUCAGAUACCGGUCCUAGGUCUCAAACCAUAAACGAUGCCGACCAGGGAUCAGCGGAUGUUGCUUAUAGGACUCCGCUGGCACCUUAUGAGAAAUCAAAGUUUUUGGGUUCCGGGGGAGUAUGGUCGCAAAGGCUGAAACUCUAAAGGGAACUUGACUGAAGGGAAAUUCACCAAUGGGGAGUGGAGCCUGCGCGCUUAAUUUGACUCAACACGGGGAAACUUACCAGUGUCCAGCAACUAUAGUAAGGGAUUGAUGCAGACUGGAGAGCUCUUUCUUGAUUCUAUGGGUGGUGGUGCAUGGCCGUCUUUAGUUGGUGGAGCGAUUUGUCUGGCUAAUCUCCGUUAACGAACGAGACCUCAGCCUGUUAAUCUAGCUACGUGGAGGCAAUCCCUUCACGGCCGGCUUCUUAGGAGGGACUAUGCGCCGUCAAGUAGGGGCCAAGGUGGAAGUUUGAGGCAAUAACAGGUCUGUGAUGCCCUUAGAUGUUCCUGGGCCGCACGCGCGCUACACUGAUGUAUUCAACGAGUUCACACCCCUUGGCCGACAGUGCCCGGGUAAUCUUUGAAAUUUCAUCGUGAUGGGGAUAGAUCAUUGCAAUUGUUGGACUUCUUCAACGAGGAAUUCUCCUAGUAAGCGCGAGUCGCUCAGCUCGCUGACUACGUCCCUCCGGCCCUUGUACACACCGCCCGUCGCUCCUACCGAGCUGAAUGAUCCGGUGAAGUUGUUCGGACCGCGGCGACAAAUGGGUGGUUCGCACGCCCCGCGACGUCGCGAGAAGUCCACUAAACCUUAUCAUUUAGAGGGGAAGGAGAAGUCGUAACAAGGUUUCCGUAGGUGAACCUGCGGGAAGGACACAU